rnacentral:tRNA from 1 species
GAAAUAUAGGCUAAACAUAUAAACCAGGGCCUUCAAAGCCCAAACUGUGAACAAAUCACUAUUUCUG